rnacentral:rRNA from 1 species
GACGAACGCUGGCGGCGUGCUUAACACAUGCAAGUCGAACGAAGCUUGAGUACGGAUUCUUCGGAUGAAGUAUGAUAUGACUGAGUGGCGGACGGGUGAGUAACGCGUGAGUAACCUGCCCUUCAGAGGGGGAUAGCGUUUGGAAACGAACGGUAAUACCGCAUAAUGUAUUUUGACCGCAUGAUCGAAAUACCAAAGAUUUAUCGCUGAAGGAUGGACUCGCGUCUGAUUAGGUAGUUGGUGGGGUAACGGCCUACCAAGCCGACGAUCAGUAGCCGGACUGAGAGGUUGAUCGGCCACAUUGGGACUGAGACACGGCCCAGACUCCUACGGGAGACAGCAGUGGGGAAUAUUGCACAAUGGGCGCAAGCCUGAUGCAGCAACGCCGCGUGAAGGAAGACGGUUUUCGGAUUGUAAACUUCUGUUCUUAGUGAAGAAUAAUGACGGUAGCUAAGGAGCAAGCCACGGCUAACUACGUG